GACGAACGCUGGCGGCGUGCCUAAUACAUGCAAGUAGAACGCACAGUUUAUACCGUAGCUUGCUACACCAUAGACUGUGAGUUGCGAACGGGUGAGUAACGCGUAGGUAACCUGCCUGGCAGCGGGGGAUAACUAUUGGAAACGAUAGCUAAUACCGCAUAAUAUUAAUUAUUGCAUGAUAAUUAAUUGAAAGGUGCAAUUGCUCCACUACCAGAUGGCCCUGCGUUGUAUUAGCUAGUAGGUGAGGUAACGGCUCACCUAGGCGACGAUACAUAGCCGAACUGAGAGGGUGAUCGGCCACACUGGGAAUGAGACACGGCCCAGACUCAUACGGGAGGCAGCAGUAGGGAAUCUUCGGCAAUGGAAGAAAGUCUGAACGAGCAACGCCGCGUGAGUGAAGAAGGUUGUCGGAUCGUAAAGCUCUGUUGUAAGAGAAGAACGGGAGUGAGAGUGGAAAGUUCACACUGUGACGGUAUCUUACCAGAAAGAGACGGCUAACUACGUG
rnacentral:rRNA from 1 species